GUAUUGUUAUUUCGACCUGAAGGUCUACUGUGUUACAUUCUGGUACUUUAUAGUGUGUGUAAAAAGCAUAGGCAGAGGGGUUUCCCCCUUUAACCUACAAAAAGUGCACAGGUGGGUUGAAGGCGGAGUGCACAUGCCUCUCUUGCGAGAAGCCAGCGACAUCCUGAGGAUUCAAUAAUGAUCCUUCCGCAGGUUCACCUACGGAAA
rnacentral:misc_RNA from 1 species